ACGGAAGGCAGCAGUGAGGAAUAUUGGUCAAUGGAGGCAACUCUGAACCAGCCAUCUCGCGUGAAGGAAUACGGCCCUACGGGUCUUAAACUUCUUUUAUAGGGGGAUAAAGUGAGAUAUGUAUAUCUUUUUGUAGGUACCCUAUGAAUAAGCAUCGGCUAACUCCGUGCCAGCAGCCGCGGUAAUACGGAGGAUGCGAGCGUUAUCCGGAUUUAUUGGGUUUAAAGGGUGCGUAGGCGGGCUAUUAAGUCAGCGGUCAAAUCGUGUUGCUCAACAAUACUGAGCCGUUGAAACUGGUGGUCUUGAGUGUAAAUGAGGUAGGCGGAAUGUGACGUGUAGCGGUGAAAUGCUUAGAUAUGUCACAGAACCCCGAUUGCGAAGGCAGCUUACCAAGAUACAACUGACGCUGAGGCACGAAAGCGUGGGUAUCAAACAGGAUUAGAUACCCUGGUA
rnacentral:rRNA from 1 species